GGUGAGUAAUGCAUAGGAAUCUGCCCGAUAGUGGGGGAUAACCUGGGGAAACCCAGGCUAAUACCGCAUACGUCCUACGGGAGAAAGGGGGCUCCGGCUCCCGCUAUCGGAUGAGCCUAUGUCGGAUUAGCUGGUUGGUGAGGUAAAGGCUCACCAAGGCGACGAUCCGUAGCUGGUCUGAGAGGAUGAUCAGCCACAUCGGGACUGAGACACGGCCCGAACUCCUACGGGAGGCAGCAGUGGGGAAUAUUGGACAAUGGGGGGAACCCUGAUCCAGCCAUGCCGCGUGUGUGAAGAAGGCCCUCGGGUUGUAAAGCACUUUCAGUGAGGAAGAACGCCUGGUGGUUAAUACCCAUCAGGAAAGACAUCACUCACAGAAGAAGCACCGGCUAACUCCGUGCCAGCAGCCGCGGUAAUACGGAGGGUGCGAGCGUUAAUCGGAAUUACUGGGCGUAAAGCGCGCGUAGGUGGCUUGAUAAGCCGGUUGUGAAAGCCCCGGGCUCAACCUGG
rnacentral:rRNA from 1 species